GUUAUCUGAAGUUGGAAGGGGAGAGAGAGAAAGAGAAAGAACGCAUUAGUGGAGAGCUGUUAUUUUUGACCUUGUGUUUAAAGAAACUUCCUUUGGAAAACUGAGGUGCUAGAAACUGAACUGAGCAAGCAAGUGUAGUAAGCAUGGAUGAAGGGGAAAAUCUGAUGUAAAUCCAGCUUCCUGAGGCACCUCGGUGUUUGGAUGAACUUUCCUCACACAGUGCCCAGCAGCAUGCCAAUCUAGACUAUGAUCUCACCAGAUGAACUGGGCAGGAGAACUUCAAAGGA